rnacentral:lncRNA from 1 species
UGUAUUGAAACCUAAACAUUACUUUUUUCGUGUUUGUAUGCAAUUACAUAACUGUUUAAUAUAUGUGUUUGUUUAUAUACUUUUUUAUUUAUUUCUGCAAUAGCAGCAGUAUCAACUGCAGUACCACCAGCAACAAUAUCUGCAGGACCAUCAGCAUCGCAUCAAGAUUUCCUGCAAUAUCGCUCCCAGCACCCAGGUCCAAUAUCUUCAAGAGCUUUUUACCGGUGGAGUCAAUAUGGGGGAGAUGAUCCCUCAUUUAGAUGGAGGAGACAAGCCCCAUAUGACACCAAUGGUAGAAGGAGGGGUGCUGGAAAGCGGUUUAACUCUUUUAAU